CUGGGUCCCUUGGCGAGCCAGAGAGGACGGUGGGUGUGUGAAAACCCAAGCUAGACCUGCCUGCAUCGUGGAUUUUUCCCAAACUGCAUCGGUGAAGCAUCGCGUAGAGCUUCCAUCAUCUGGGUUCGAUUUCAUGUGUUAAGGUAAGGUUUGUACCUUAACCGCUGAAUUCCAUUGUGCCAUUGUCCAUUCGCGUGCUGCGUGUAUGCCUUUUGUAGCUGUUUCCUGACUCGAUUGAUUUCGAUUCUCAAACAGAAGCUGGUUUCUAGCAGUCCAUAGUGUUCAGCAAAUCCAGAGGAAGAGAUUGCCAGUGAUCCCCGAUGGUGGCCAGCAGACAGCGCUUUCUGAGAUCAUUAGAGCUGUUACAAAAUCAGUUUGGGCAGCUAGGUGAGCUGCUUGAUGAAUGGUAGUCUCCAGCCAGACUUGUCGUGUGAAAGUGCAUUCUAGAAAGAUGUGAGUGGUUGUUUCAUCUUUCUGCAUCUCACACAUUGUGUGUUAUUAAUAAUGAGGGGACUUCAAUUAAGAUCUUUUGUUUUAAUAGUCUAGAUAAUAUAUAUAUAUAUAUAUAUUAUUUUAGGAAAAUAUUUAAGAAUCGUUGGAUAAUUACAAAUAAUUUCCAUAAAUAUUUUUUUAAAUUUAAAUAUAGUGGC
rnacentral:lncRNA from 1 species